UUACCUGGGCUCAAAUGUAUGUUGACGUAUUCUGAAAGGGAUACUUCUUCGGACAAUAUACAAGGUGCUGCAUGGUUGUCGUCAGCUCGUGCCGUGAGGUGUCGGGUUAAGUCCCAUAACGAGCGCAACCCCUAUCAUUAGUUGCCAUCAGGUCAAGCUGGGGACUCUAAUGAAACUGCCUACGCAAGUAGUGAGGAAGGUGGGGAUGACGUCAAAUCAGCACGGCCCUUACGUCCAGGGCUACACACGUGCUACAAUGGCCGGUACAAAGGGCAGCUACCUGGUGACAGGAUGCUAAUCUCAAAAGCCGGUCUCAGUUCGGAUCGGAGUCUGCAACCCGACUCCGCGAAGCUGGAAUCGCUAGUAAUCGCGCAUCAGCCAUGGCGCGGUGAAUACGUUCCCGGGCCUU
rnacentral:rRNA from 1 species